AGACAACCUUCUCCUGUUUUGUGAUGACGAGCUCAGGCUCCGGGAGCAGACAGACCUUUUAAUCUCUUUUCUGUAGUGUCGGAGCUUCCUCGUGAACUGGGACAAAACCAUCUUGAUUCUGAUUCAGUCGAUACAGUUCUUCGGAUUUAAGAUAGAUGACCUCUCUUGCACGCUUUGCUUCUCUCCAUCCAAGAUAUCCAGC